ACGAGGCGCUGCAUUAACAUGCAGUCGACGGCAGCAUGAUCUAGCUUGCUAGAUUGAUGGCGAGUGGCGAACGGGUGAGUAAUACAUCGGAACGUGCCCUGUAGUGGGGGAUAACUAGUCGAAAGAUUAGCUAAUACCGCAUACGACCUGAGGGUGAAAGUGGGGGACCGCAAGGCCUCAUGCUAUAGGAGCGGCCGAUGUCUGAUUAGCUAGUUGGUGAGGUAAAGGCUCACCAAGGCGACGAUCAGUAGCUGGUCUGAGAGGCGUUCAGCUCUCCUGGGACUGAGACACGGCCCAGACUCAUACGGGAGGCAGCAGUGGGGAAUUUUGGACAAUGGGCGAAAGCCUGAUCCAGCAAUGCCGCGUGUGUGAAGAAGGCCUUCGGGUUGUAAAGCACUUUUGUCCGGAAAGAAAUGGCUCUGGUUAAUACCUGGGGUCGAUGACGGUACCGGAAGAAUAAGGACCGGCUAACUACGUGCCAGCAGCCGCGGUAAUACGUAGGGUCCAAGCGUUAAUCGGAAUUACUGGGCGUAAAGCGUGCGCAGGCGGUUGUGCAAGACCGAUGUGAAAUCCCCGAGCUUAACUUGGGAAUUGCAUUGGUGACUGCACGGCUAGAGUGUGUCAGAGGGGGGUAGAAUUCCACGUGUAGCAGUGAAAUGCGUAGAGAUGUGGAGGAAUACCGAUGGCGAAGGCAGCCCCCUGGGAUAACACUGACGCUCAUGCACGAAAGCGUGGGGAGCAAACAGGAUUAGAUACCCUGGUAGUCCACGCCCUAAACGAUGUCAACUAGUUGUUGGGGAUUCAUUUCCUUAGUAACGUAGCUAACGCGUGAAGUUGACCGCCUGGGGAGUACGGUCGCAAGAUUAAAUAGAAAAUUUUUUUGUGGGAGGA
rnacentral:rRNA from 1 species